AAGAAAAAGAGAAGAGAGACAAU
rnacentral:sRNA from 1 species